rnacentral:rRNA from 1 species
UGCGUAGGCGGACUAAUAAGUCAGUGGCGAAAUCUCUCGGCUCAACCGGGAAACUGCCAUUGAUACUGUUAGUCUUGAGUUCGGUUGAGGUAGGCGGAAUGUGUAAUGUAGCGGUGAAAUGCUUAGAUAUUACACAGAACACCAAUUGCGUAGGCAGCUUACUAGACCGACACUGACGCUGAGGCACGAAAGCGUGGGUAGCGAACAGGAUUAGAUACCCUGGUAGUC